CCUCCUAUCCCUUUGUCUGCCCGGGGGCUUCCAGGGGGCUGCACCCCUGCAACCCAGUGAGAGCGAGGGAUUUCUCCUCAUGUCCCCUGGUUCCUCUAACCUAAACUUCCUGCAGGGCUUCAGGGAUUUUAACACAAUGCACUGUGAGGCACCGAGUGGCAUGCAGCAAGGAUGGCAAACACACAUGCUGCAGUUACCUUGUAGAAGUGGUAUGCAGUCAAGAUUUUAACAUCCAGAAGGAGUCUGAACAACAACAGCAGGGAGUGCCCCGGCAGCAACUGGGAUGGCAAUCACCCAGCAGCACAGCUACUAGGAAACCAAAUAUAUUAACUCUCCAAUGCACUAAGCGGCGGAGACAGCUAUUCUCCUCAGCCAACUGGCAGUAAAAGUGGAAAGGAAAAAUUCCACUUAAAUUCUCCAAGCCACACUCCCAGUGCGCUGGUAUUCUUCCCGCAUGCCCUAGCAGACCAUGUGCUGCAGAGCACUGUGCAAGAGCCCACCCUUCCAGCUCUGUGCGAAGGCUGGCCGGAACAGACUCACAAAUAGCACCGGGAAUGCCAUGGACGGCAUCCAGUUCCUUGAGGAAACUCUGUGGUAUUACUUUAAACACAUCAUUUUGCAGGGAAAGCUGUGUGCUGCCUAGGUGUUCUCACCCACACACCCCACCCACAAAUAUAGGCUUCUGUCUAACCAUAAAUAGCAUUUUCAAUACACCCAUAACUCUGUCAAGUUGACCAAAAACAUAGCGAAGAUGUCAAGAAGGACUACGGAGGGAAUGGAACAAGUCCCAGAUAAACAAGUGAAUAAGUAAGCCAAGACUACCAAGAGAAAACAAGUUUAUAUACAAUGCCUUAAUCUGCACACUAGAACAGGUUGAUCAGUGGUCUCCAGUUUUUUAUGCUUGGUGCCACACUGUGUAUGCAAGCCAUGACAAGACUCUGAGGAAUCAGGGAAGCUGGAGUCUGGCUGGCAUAUGAAGUCAUUCCUGAAGUGCCACUGCAUGUGACAUGAGGGAUCGUUCCAACAUCUUUGCUUGCCUUCAGGACUUUUUUCUAACAGGUGCAGCAGAUAAACUUCUCAUACAGCCUUCCUUGCGUGUAUGAGACCAAACUACCACUGGUCUGGAGUGCCAGAUGACGGAGGAAGGUGGGUUCGCUCACACUGCAAGGACUCGCAGCAUUCUUGUGAAUGAGUGGCCAGGACCUGCUCUUCUGCAGAAUAAAAUAAUGAACAUCUGAUUUACUGUCACUGUGGGACUGGGAGGACAAAAGGCUUGGGCUUCUCAGCAGGUCUGUCCUGGUACAUGAGUUCUACAUCAUCCCCUGGGACAAGCACCAUCCUGAAUCACAAUGCAAAAUGCUGUAGCUGGGACUGGAAAUUUGCUGUAGCUUUGGACUGCUUUAUGUGUCCCAAAUGUGCCUACAGUGAUAUGAAUGAUUAAAACAGCUCCAGCUCAGACCACAUUCCUGAAGGGCAGAGGCACAAAGGCUGCCAAGGCAGGUUGGUUGGGGUGGUGGGAGUCCUGUUGCAGGUUCUGGCCUCAGGUGGGCAGCAGGGACCCAGUACCAACCUUCAGGAACUGUCGACCAUCUCCUUCUCCCCACUUCCCGGUCCUCAUGAGGGGCAGAUGUCCUCUUGGUCUCUGAGAGCCACCAAGUCAAAUGGGACUGUAGAGAGCAACCUUAGGUAAUGAAGCAUGGAAAUGAUGUACAGUUUCAUCUGUUUAAAACCUUCAGGUAAAAGGGACAAGGAUGUAACUCUGAAGGACAGAUAACAGCAUUCCUCAACAGGUCCUGCAGUUACUUUAAAGAAUGGUUUAUCAGGUCUUCAAUUUCUGUUAGCUGCUGGAGUUAUAUAUAGCUUUAGAAAAAUCCGCAAAGCACUGACAAGGAUUUUGUUACUUGUUUUAUUGACAAGGACACCCCAAAAAAAGUAUUUUAAUUGGAAAGAGAAGAUGGUGGUGAAGAUUUAUUAGUCUAGAUUUCCCCUUAAAUAUUACUUGUGCCAGAAGCAGAGGAGGAAGGAAAACUGCUUACAUUUUCUAGAUAGGAAUAAUAAUCUUAACUCCAGGAGAAAUUCAGAGAGAAGGGUUUGGGGGCUCAGCAGACUAAAAGGCACUUUAAUCCCAACCUCAGCAAAUCUUGGAUGUGAGAAGCAGUUUUCAUUGUGUGCACAUUGUCUGGUAUUUUACAGACUUAGGGGUUAAUUUUCCCCUGUCCUUCCCAAGAACCUUCUGAGUUAGAAUAAUGGCUUGUUAUUUGGGCAGAGAAGCAUUCCUGAAAAGUGUUUUCUUUGCCCUUACUCAUGAAUAACUGAUGGAAAUGAACAGCUGGCAAAUUAAGUCACCAUGGUGCUUUAAAAUAAAUAAAUGAAUAAAUGAUGCCUUCAUCGUCAAGGUUAAGAUCUGUUAGAGAAAAAGUUUUUUCUCUCCACCCGUAUAUAGCAACCUUGGAUCAAUCUUCUUCAGUGAUUUUUAUCCUUUGGGACUCAUCUUCACUGAAAACAAAAACAAAAACAAACAAAACAAAACAACAACAAAACAAACAAACUUUCGUUAAUGUGCCAGAUACUGUGCAACGUUUUGACAUAAGGCUAUUGUAUGUGUAUUCCUUUUAGCUCUGACAGUAUUUAGUGCUGGUGGUAUCUUUUUGCAGUUGUUUUCAGUAGAUCUGCUUUUGAUGGACCACAAAUGAACAAUGAGCACUGAACUCACAGCCCAAAGGUAAGGUUAAAAACAUACCACCUUUUUUGAAAAUUCUUUUUCUAAAUACAGCUGAAAUUCAAUAAAUGUCUCUUCAUUUCGUAUUAUUGAGAACUGUUACAGAGGAUACAAUCAUCCAAUAAUAAUGAUAAUUAUCUUGUUGAGCCACCAAAUAGCAUUUUAGUAGGUCUUAUUUAUAAUAGAGUGUAGAUCUGAGGCAAGCUGUAUUGUGACAAAGGAUUUAACCCUUUGAAGUGUCUUGUUUCCUUCUUCCCAAAAUAACCAUGGAACUUGAAUGGUCCCAAUUUCACUGCUAUUAAUGACAGGUCAGAUUUGGAAAAAUUCUGAAGGUUGUUGUUGUUUUUAACCCUUGCUCUUAUCACAGCUUUAUACUUCCCUUGAUGUAAACUUGAGAUUUAGUCCUUCUACUGCAAAAUAAGACAUCAUGGUAAAGAAAGAGGAAAAGGAAGAAAGAAAGAAAAAAAUGUUUCCUGAACUCUUUGUGGUAUUCCCAGAGGACAUCUUGGCAUCAACUGGAAAGCUUCACAAGCUGUCCGUGAACAUCAGAGAGUAAAGGCUCAUUUGGUCUGUUGCUUUGGUCAGUCAAUCUGCUCACACUUCAUCAGGAGUGUCAGGGGAUCCUGACAAAAUGAUAACGAUGCUAUGCACCAGGAAGAGGAGAACAUAAAUAAGCUACCUAAUUCCAUUUCUUUUAGCAUUUCUUUUGUAUCCAUAUGCUGGAAUCAUAUCACACCAGCCUAGCCUUUGUACUUAGAGAGUUCCUCUGAAUUGGAUUAUGUAAUAUAUUGAAAGCCGUAUUUCUUGUAGCACCUUUGGGUUUUGUGCAUUUGUGUGCAUUGUUGCCCUCUGGCUGUGUUUUUGUAUAUGCAGAAAACAAUUAAAAUCUACUUCUCUCAAUCA